UGGUCUUCUUGGUGUGAUGCAUAGCGCAU
rnacentral:sRNA from 1 species